UUUGUUGGAGAGUUUGAUCCUGGCUCAGGACGAACGCUGGCGGCGUGCUUAACACAUGCAAGUCGAGCGGA
rnacentral:rRNA from 1 species